UAAUUUACUCUGAACAAAAUAAAUGCUCUUAAGGACGAGAGACUAUUCCUGUCGUUUUCCUUCUAAGCCUCUAUCGGACAGGAUGUGGUCCUCGUAAUUCAGCGGAUGAUAUUCCGCAAACAAAAACCUUUAUAUUUGUUCUUCGAAUAUUGUACCACAAGUACAUCACAAUGAGCAGGAACGUGACCGCUACCACCGAAGAACUCGUCAAAGGAUAUGAGGGAAAAUCGCUUCAAAAAUCUAACUAUGCGGAAGACAGUAAGAUGGAGCUUAAAACAAAAAGAUUCAUUUAUUCACCAUCAUAAUGGAACAGGUACACCCAUCCCAAAUCACUUCAGGGGGCCAGUCCAGAGUGAUGCCUGUAGAACCUGCUGAAUGCCAUUAGACUCCAUUAGACUCUGCCGGCUUGAGGGUGCUACUCCUGUUUAGCUAGCAGUCGUUCCGCCAUGAACAGCUCAUCGGAAAUGUACAAAAGAUACGCUACACACCCAGGUGGCUGGAUCGUAUGGAAGAAAAUUCGAACCGGAUGCUCCGCUACGUACGGCCCAAGUUGUCAUGAACAGCAGAAAUCGGC